UACGAGGGGGGCGAGCGUUGUUCGGAAUUAUUGGGCGUAAAGGGUGCGUAGGCGGUUCCGCAAGUCCUGUGUGAAAUCUUCGGGCUCAACUCGAAGUCUGCACGGGAAACUGCGGGGCUUGAGUGUGGGAGAGGUGAGUGGAAUUCCUGGUGUAGCGGUGAAAUGCGUAGAUAUCAGGAGGAACACCGGUGGUGUAGACGGCUAUCUGGACCGUAACUGACGCUGAGACACGAAAGCGUGGGUAGCAAACAGG
rnacentral:rRNA from 1 species